UUACAUGUAGAAGAUGCGUUUUGAAGUCCCUUAAUGCAGUUGUCGAUCCAAGGGCCGCUGAGGCUUGAUCUUGAACCGGUCUGGGAGUUUCUUCAAGUGCCGUUAAGGCUUGUUCUUGAAUUUUGUUUGAAGUUUCUUCAAGGGCCGUUGAGGCUUGAUCUUGGAUAAAAUUGGACUACAAGGAGCUUCGUGUAGAAGACGAUCCUUGGCUUUGAUGAUGGAUGAAUCGA
rnacentral:lncRNA from 1 species